rnacentral:rRNA from 1 species
GGGCUUUGCCCGCUACCUCUUACCCAUGUCUUUUGAGUACUUACGUUUCCUCGGCGGGUCCGCCCGCCGAUUGGACAAAAUUAAACCCUUUGCAGUUGCAAUCAGCGUCUGAAAAACAUAAUAGUUACAACUUUCAACAACGGAUCUCUUGGUUCUGGCAUCGAUGAAGAACGCAGCGAAAUGCGAUAAGUAGUGUGAAUUGCAGAAUUCAGUGAAUCAUCGAAUCUUUGAACGCACAUUGCGCCCCUUGGUAUUCCAAGGGGCAUGCCUGUUCGAGCGUCAUUUGUACCUUCAAGCUUUGCUUGGUGUUGGGUGUUUGUCUCGCCUUUGCGUGUAGACUCGCCUCAAAACAAUUGGCAGCCGGCGUAUUGAUUUCGGAGCGCAGUACAUCUCGCGCUUUGCACUCAUAACGACGACGUCCAAAAGUACAUUUUUACACUCCUGACCUCGGAUCAGGUAGGGAUACCCGCUGAACUUAAGCAUAUCAAUAAGCGGAGGAAAGGAAACCAACAGGGAUUGCCCUAGUAACGGCGAGUGAAGCGGCAACAGCUCAAAUUUGAAAUCUGGCGUCUUUGGCGUCCGAGUUGUAAUUUGCAGAGGGCGCUUUGGCAUUGGCAGCGGUCCAAGUUCCUUGGAACAGGACGUCACAGAGGGUGAGAAUCCCGUACGUGGUCGCUAGCCUUUACCGUGUAAAGCCCCUUCGACGAGUCGAGUUGUUUGGGAAUGCAGCUCUAAAUGGGAGGUAAAUUUCUUCUAAAGCUAAAUACUGGCCAGAGACCGAUAGCGCACAAGUAGAGUGAUCGAAAGAUGAAAAGCACUUUGGAAAGAGAGUUAAAAAGCACGUGAAAUUGUUG